rnacentral:lncRNA from 1 species
CUCCAGGGGACAAUCACCUCCAGAGGGACAUCACCUCAAGGAAGAAAUCAACUCCAAGAGGCAUCACCUCCAGGGGAACAUCACCUCCAGGGGGACAUCACCUCCAGGGGACAAUCACCUCUAGGGGAACAUCACCUCCAGGGAAACAUCACAUCCAGGGGGACAUCACUUCAAGGAGGAAAUCACUUCCAGGGGGCAUCACCUCCAGGGGACAUUACUUCCAGGGGAACAUCACCUCCAGAGGGACAUCAUCUCAAGGAGGAAAUCAACUCCAAGGGGCAUCACCUCCAGGGGGACAUCACCUCCAGGGAACAUCACUUCCAGGGGACCAUCACCUGCAGGGGAACAUCACCUCCAGGGAAACAUCACCUCCAGGGGGACAUCACCUCAAGGAGGAAAUCACCUCCAGGGGACAUUCCUUCCAGGGAAACAACGCCUCCAGGGGGACAUUACCCCAAGUAGGAAAUCACCUUCAGGUGACAUCACCUCCAAAGGAUCAUCACCUCCAGGGAAACAUCACCUCCAGAGGGACAUCAUCUCAAGGAGGAAAUCACCUCCAAGAGGCAUCAAUCACCUCAAGGAGGACAUCACCUCCAGGGGGACAUCACCUCCAGGGGUCCAGGGGGACAUCACCACCAGGGGAGCAUCACCUCCAGGGGGACAUUACCCCAAGUAGGAAAUCACCUCCAGGAGGAAAUCACCUCCAGGGAAACAUCACCUCCAGGAGGAAAUCACCUCCAGGGGACAUCACCUCCAGGGAAACAUCACCUUCAGGGGGACAUCAACUCAAGGAGGAAAUCACCUCCAGGGGGGAUCACCUACAGGGGACAUCACUUCCAGGGAAACAUCACCUCCAGGGAACAUUACCUCCAGGGAAACAUCACCUCCAGGGGGACAUCACCUCCAGGGAAACAUCACCUCCAGGGGGACAUCACCUCAAGGAGGAAAUCACCUCCAGGAGACAUUACUUCCAGGGAAACAUCACCUCCAGGGGGACAUUACCCCAAGUAGGAAAUCACCUUCAGGUGACAUCACCUCCAAAGGAUCAUCACCUCCAGGGGAACAUCACCUCCAGGGGAAUAUCACCUCCAGGGAACAUCACCUCCAGGGGAACAUCACCUCCAGGAGAACAUCACCUUCACGGGCAUCACCUCCAGGU